CAUCCGAACCUCCCACCGUCAUCCCAGAUCAGACCUGUUUCACCGGUAAAGGUGAAGCAUACCGAGGCACCACUGCUGUAACUGAAUCUGGCAAAACAUGCCAGAGCUGGUCGGCUCAGACACCACACCAACACAGCCGCACGCCGGACAAAUAUCCCGGAAAAGGCCUGGAUAACAAUUACUGUCGUAACCCCGACAAUGAGAGGAGACCCUGGUGUUACACUACUGACCCUAACAGCCGCUGGGAGUACUGCAGUGUACCACGCUGUGGGGAUGCAGCCGGACCAGAUCCUAUUUUUCACCUGUC